rnacentral:tRNA from 1 species
AAAAAAUUAGUUAAACAUAUAACAUUAGCUUGUCAAGCUAAAAUCAUUAAUCUAUUAAUAUUUUUUG